rnacentral:rRNA from 1 species
CCUACGGGAGGCUGCAGUGGGGAAUAUUGGACAAUGGGGGCAACCCUGAUCCAGCCAUGCCGCGUGUGUGAAGAAGGCCCUCGGGUUGUAAAGCACUUUCAGUGAGGAAGAACGCCUGGUGGUUAAUACCCAUCAGGAAAGACAUCACUCACAGAAGAAGCACCGGCUAACUCCGUGCCAGCAGCCGCGGUAAUACGGAGGGUGCGAGUGUUAAUCGGAAUUACUGGGCGUAAAGCGCGCGUAGGUGGCUUGAUAAGCCGGUUGUGAAAGCCCCGGGCUCAACCUGGGAACGGCAUCCGGAACUGUCAAGCUAGAGUGCAGGAGAGGAAGGUAGAAUUCCCGGUGUAGCGGUGAAAUGCGUAGAGAUCGGGAGGAAUACCAGUGGCGAAGGCGGCCUUCUGGACUGACACUGACACUGAGGUGCGAAAGCGUGGGUAGCAAACAGGAUUAGAUACCCUGGUAGUC